rnacentral:rRNA from 1 species
CACAGUGGAACUGAGACACGGUCCAAACUCCUACGGGAGGCAGCAGUGGGGAAUAUUGCACAAUGGGCGAAAGCCUGAUGCAGCAACGCCGCGUGAGUGAUGAAGGCCUUCGGGUCGUAAAACUCUGGCCUCAAGGAAGAUAAUGACGGUACUUGAGGAGGAAGCCCCGGCUAACUACGUGCCAGCAGCCGCGGUAAUACGUAGGGGGCUAGCGUUAUCCGGAGUUACUGGGCGUAAAGGGUGCGGAGGCGGUCUUUCAAGUCAGGAGUGAAAGGCUACGGCUCAACCGUAGUAAGCUCUUGAAACUGGGAGACUUGAGUGCAGGAGAGGAGAGUGGAAUUCCUAGUGUAGCGGUGAAAUGCGUAGAUAUUAGGAGGAACACCAGUUGCGAAGGCGGCUCUCUGGACUGU